UCUAACUAUUUACGAGGAUUCUGUUGUUAGUUUCAAGACGGUGAAGACAAAAUAUCACGAUUCAGACACAUAUUUCUUUUGACUAUUUAGCGGAUACGCAUUUAUUUUGUCACAUAUGUUUGACAACAACAAAAUGACUCCGGUUAUUUGACUUGUUUUUCAAAAUUCCGAUUCCUUUAUGGGCUGAGAACGCAGCAUAUCUCCCGAAGCGCAAUUUGAUUGGCUCAUUAGUGGUCACGAGAGCACAAUUGUCAUCGAUUUGAUUGGAAGCUCGUUGAAUUUUCAACCCGGAAAACAUCUAACCUUGACCACUGUCACGUUAAGUCUCAUGUCACAAAUUUGAUUAGUUUGUUGGGAUUCGGUGCUUUGUAACCACUUCAAUAUUCGAUAUCUUUGCGUGUUUUAUUGUGAUAUUUCGGCAAUCGUGUAGGUUGUGGCGGGUGUUUCUGAGUUAGGCAUGUUUUGUAUUGAUAAACGACCCUUAGCAUUUAGCAAAACAUUACUAACAGAGCAGGACUGCCAUUUAAAAAAUGAGGACACUUUUCUGCUUCCUCACCAGGAGCUAUAAAGCUGAUGGCGGCUGGAAACAAAGCGCCUUUUUAUCACCACAUUCAAUGCAACGCAGAGUCAGAUGCAGACGCAGCGAUGUGUGCAAAGAGGAAAGAAGUUACUACAUAACCACUCCCAUCUUCUAUGUCAAUGCCUCUCCUCAUCUGGGCCACCUGUAUUCAGCAAUUUUAGCCGACUGCAUGCACAGAUACAAGCUUCUACGGGGAUUCAAGUCGAGAUUUGCAACAGGCACGGAUGAGCACGGUUUAAAAAUCCAACAGGCGGCCAAUGCAGCAGGAGAAGCCCCCCUGACCUUCUGCACCGGCGUGUCUCAGAGAUUCCGGCAGCUCUUUGGUAGCUGCAAUGUGUCCUUCACAGACUACAUCAGGACCACUGAGGAGAGGCACCGGCGGUCCGUAGAGCACUUCUGGUGCACAUUGUAUGACAAAGGGUUUAUCUACAAGGGCAACUAUGAGGGCUGGUACUCCAUGCCAGACGAGAGCUUCCUCACCCCGGCGCAGGUGGCUGACGCCGUUGAUGCUAGCGGCCAAGCUAUCAAGGUUUCACUGGAGAGUGGUCACAAGGUGGAAUGGCUGAAAGAGGAGAACUACAUGUUCCGUUUGUCAGCAUUUCGGACUCCACUGCUUGACUGGCUGCAUAAAAACCCUGGAGCUAUCCAGCCCGAGCGGUUCCUCCAGGAUGUUCUCCAAUGGCUGCAGGAUGACCUUCCGGACCUCUCUGUGUCCCGCCAAAGAAGCCGCCUCCAGUGGGGGAUUCCCGUGCCGGGGGAUUCCGAGCACACCAUCUACGUGUGGUUGGACGCUCUGGUAAACUACCUCACGGUAGUUGGUUACCCCGACAACCACAAUCAUUGGUGGAGCGUGGCCCGCCACAUCGUAGGCAAAGACAUCCUGAAAUUCCACGCCAUCUACUGGCCGUCUUUCCUCCUUGGGGUGGGACUGCCGCCGCCGCAGUCCAUACACGUGCACUCGCACUGGACAGUCAAUGGAACCAAGAUGUCGAAAAGUUUAGGCAACGUGGUGGACCCCUUUGAGCGCUCGCAGGCGUUCACCACCGACGGUUUACGGUACUUCCUGCUGCGUCAAGGCGUGCCUGAUUCAGACUGUGACUACGCAGAUCACAAAGUCACCAACGUUCUCAACACGGAGCUGGCCGACUCCUUGGGCGGCCUCCUCAACCGCUGCACCGCUCCUGCGCUCAACCUAACACAGACCUACCCACCAUUCUGCCCUUUGUUUUUCCCAAUUGAGCGGGAUGGUAGGGCGGUGCCAGAAGACUACCACCUGCUGGGUACUGUGCGAAACCUCCCAACGUUGGUGGAGCGCCAUUAUGAAAGCCUGCACGUAUACAAAGCCUUGGAGGCCAUUGCUUCCUGUGUUAGACAAACCAACGGCUUCGUUCAACGGCACACACCUUGGAAGUUGAACAGGAUGGACAGCGGAGACCAACGCUGGCUGGACACAAUCAUCCAUGUCACUCUGGAAUGUCUGAGGAUUUACGGGACCCUCCUGCAGCCUGUCGUGCCGCGAGUAGCCGACAAGUUACUGUCCAGACUCGGCGUGCGAGCUGACGAGAGGAAGUGGAGCGACCUGGACUUCCUGCCGAGUUACAGUGGCAAAGACUGCCGCUUCCAAGGGAGAACGCUAGGACCUGAUACAGGAGUGCUUUUUAAUCGUCUGGAAAAUCCCACUGGAGAUGAGCAAAAAACUAAGAAAAUUAAAAAGCAGGCGAUUAUCUCAAGGCAAUUUACAUAAGGACUGAGUUUUGAACCACACUCUCCACAUAUUUAAGGAAACCACCUAAACCACGCGCGAAUAAGCACGAGGUAGCCAAGACUAGAAAAAAAAAAACUCAGGAAGAACCCUCAAACACAAACUCAUAUUGCCGGUGUGAGACUAGAGUUGCUCAACUUGGGGUGAAAAAUCAUGCAGAUAGAACCCUGAGUCCCAUCACGUUCUGUGAUGCAUGUUGUACACAUUCGUCUGACCACUUUCUUUUUUUGCUCAACAUAAUUAGCAUGUAUUUAAACAUCCUUUUAAAAAAAUCCACACGAGGUACUAUCACGACCGGCACACGUUGCCGACUGAGCUAACUAAAUUACCCGCAGCACUGAUAUGGACAACCAAUGUAGUGUGAUCAUCUGCAGCCAGUGAUGGCCAAGCGGGCGUAUCAUAACUAAGUGACAUGUUGAGUCGGGUGUGUCUCCGUCGAACCCGAGACUGAGUCACUGAACCCCUGGGAUUCGAUCGAACCCAGACAUCGAUUGAUGCCUGAAACGAUCCAGAAAUUGAAGCAUUGUUCAGUCUUUUGGGUAACAUAAUACAAGUGAAAAAGUGAUGAUAAAAGACAAGAGCGGUUAUGUGUUCUUGGUUUAUGUUAAAGGGGCUCCAAAUAUUGACUGCAUAUGAAUGUGUGUUGUAGAAGGCCAACCUUUGUAUAUUAAACAUCUGUUUAUGAUGG